UACUCUUGACAUCCACGGAAUUUAGCAGAGAUGCUUUAGUGCCUUCGGGAACCGUGAGACAGGUGCUGCAUGGCUGUCGUCAGCUCGUGUUGUGAAAUGUUGGGUUAAGUCCCGCAACGAGCGCAACCCUUAUCCUUUGUUGCCAGCACGUAAUGGUGGGAACUCAAGCGAGACUGCCGGUGACAAACCGGAGGAAGGUGGGGAUGACGUCAAGUCAUCAUGGCCCUUACGAGUAGGGCUACACACGUGCUACAAUGGCAGAUACAAAGUGAAGCGAACUCGCGAGAGCAAGCGGACCACAUAAAGUC
rnacentral:rRNA from 1 species